AUGGAUUCAACGAGGUUUGCUCCGACCAUCUGCGCUCUGAUCUUCGUCGCGCUCUUCGCUUUCCAUGGUAUCAGUCUCGCUUCGCCUGACGAAGCGAAGAAGCUGUACAUCGUCUACUUGGGGGAGAAAAGAAGACUGCACGAGAACGCUGAUGACGCCACUGCCUCGCACCACCGCAUCCUGGCUUCAGUUCUCGGAAGCGAGGAGGCUGCUUCCAGGUCGAUGGUGUACAGCUACAAGCAUGGGUUCUCUGGCUUCUCCGCCAUGCUCACAGAAUCGCAGGCCGGGAAACUCGGAGGGCUACCUGGUGUGACGAGCGUGAGGAUGAACCAAGUCCAUAGUACGCAUACAACUCGCAGCUGGGACUUCAUGGGGCUGCCGCACGACCAGCCCAACGGAAUUCUGGCGAGUGCCGGGAUGGGGGAGGGUGUCAUCAUCGGUGUCAUCGACUCAGGCCCAAAUUUUAACCAGGCAUUACAAGCAGUACAACCGAAGUUGACACCCCAGAUGAAUGAUCUAUUAAUAAAGGAGUACACUGUUGAGGAAGUGAAGCGAGCCCUUGAUGAUAUGGGUGAUCUUAAGGCACCUGGUGCGGAUGGUAUGCCGGCUAUUUUCUAUAAGAGAUUUUGGAGUACGGUGGGCGAAGCUGUAACACGAGAGGUAUUACAUGUGUUGCGAGGCGGCAGUAUACCAGAGGGAUGGAAUGAAACAAUUGUUGUGCUUAUCCCAAAGGUUCGGAAUCCUGAUCGUAUCAAAGAUCUACGCCCUAUUAGCCUUUGCAAUGUGGUGUAUAAGCUUGUGUCUAAAGUGUUAGCAAACCGUCUCAAACAAAUCUUGGAUGAGAUUAUUUCAGCCAACCAGAGCGCCUUUGUGCCAGGCCGUUUAAUUUCUGAUAACACUAUUUUAGCCUAUGAAAUGACCCACUUCAUGAGAAGAAAGAGGAGAGGUAAAGAUGUAUACAUGGCACUCAAGCUCGACAUGAGUAAAGCUUAUGAUCGGGUAGAGUGGCUGUUUCUUGAAGGAAUUAUGAAGAAGUUGGGCUUCAUUGAUGAGUUUGUACAGUUAAUUAUGAAGUGUGUCAAGACUGUUUCGUACAGGUUAAGAGUGAAUGGAGAUAUCUCAGAUGUGGUUAUACCGGGUAGCGGAUUGCGGCAGGGGGAUUCUAUCUCCCCCUAUCUCUUUCACUUGUGCGCGGAGGGACUUUCAGCAAUGCUAAAUAAAGCAAAUCACGAUGGCCAAAUCAGAGGUAUAUGUUGGGGAACGUAG
rnacentral:rRNA from 1 species